GAUGAACGCUGGCGGCGUGCCUAACACAUGCAAGUCGAGCGGCAGCGAGGGGUGCUUGCACCCUGUCGGCGAGCGGCGGACGGCUGAGUAACGCGUGGGAACGUGCCCCAAAGUGAGGAAUAACUGCCCGAAAGGGUAGCUAAUACCGCAUAUUAUCUUCGGAUCAAAGGAUUUAUCCGCUUUGGGAGCGGCUCGCGUCGGAUUAGGUAGUUGGUGAGGUAAUGGCUCACCAAGCCGACGAUCCGUAGCUGGUCUGAGAGGAUGACCAGCCAGACUGGAACUGAGACACGGUCCAGACUCCUACGGGAGGCAGCAGUGAGGAAUCUUCCACAAUGGGCGAAAGCCUGAUGGAGCAACGCCGCGUGCAGGACGAAGGCCUUCGGGUUGUAAACUGCUUUUAUAAGUGAGGAAUAUGACGGUAACUUAUGAAUAAAGAUCGGCGAACUACGU
rnacentral:rRNA from 1 species